AACGAACGCUGGCGGCAGGCUUAACACAUGCAAGUCGAGCGCCCCGCAAGGGGAGCGGCAGACGGGUGAGUAACGCGUGGGAAUCUACCCAUCCCUACGGAACAACUCCGGGAAACUGGAGCUAAUACCGGAUACGCCCUCCGGGGGAAAGAUUCAUUGCCGAAAGAUCGGCCCGCGUCGGAUUAGCUAGUUGGUGGGGUAAAAGCCUACCAAGGCGACGAUCCGUAGCUGGUCUGAGAGGAUGACCAGCCACACUGGGACUGAGACACGGCCCAGACUCCUACGGGAGGCAGCAGUGGGGAAUAUUGGACAAUGGGCGCAAGCCUGAUCCAGCCAUGCCGCGUGGGUGAAGAAGGCCUAGGGUUGUAAACCCCUUUCAGCGGGGAAGAUAAUGACGGUACCCGCAGAAGAAGCCCCGGCUAACUCCGUGCCAGCCGCCGCCGUAAAAC
rnacentral:rRNA from 1 species